UACGGGGGGGGCAAGCGUUGUCCGGAAUUAUUGGGCGUAAAGGGCGAGUAGGUGGAAUGGUAAGUUAGAGGUGAAAGUUCAGAGCUUAACUCUGGAAUUGCCUCUAAUACUGCUGUUCUUGAGUGUGAGAUAGGAAAGUGGAAUUCCCGGUGUAGCGGUGAAAUGCGUAGAUAUCGGGAAGAACACCAGUAGCGAAGGCGACUUUCUGGCUCACUUCUGACACUAAAUCGCGAAAGCGUGGGGAG
rnacentral:rRNA from 1 species